rnacentral:rRNA from 1 species
GCCGCGAAAGCCAGGCCUUCAUAUUUUGUUGUGUAAUGAUCCUUUCCGUAGGGUGACCUGCGGAGGGAUCAUUACACAACAAAAUAUGAAGGCCUGGCUUUCGCGGCCGGCUGAAGUAUUUUUUUCACCCAUGUCUUUUGCGCACUUGUUGUUUCCUGGGCGGGUUCGCCCGCCACCAGGACCAAACCAUAAACCUUUUUUUCUUAUGCAGUUUCCAUCAGCGUCAGUAAAAACAAUGUAAUUAUUACAACUUUCAACAACGGAUCUCUUGGUUCUGGCAUCGAUGAAGAACGCAGCGAAAUGCGAUACGUAGUGUGAAUUGCAGAAUUCAGUGAAUCAUCGAAUCUUUGAACGCACAUUGCGCCCUUUGGUAUUCCAAAGGGCAUGCCUGUUCGAGCGUCAUUUGUACCUUCAAGCUUUGCUUGGUGUUGGGCGUUUUUUUGUCUCCCUCUUUCUGGGAGACUCGCCUUAAAACGAUUGGCAGCCGGCCUACUGGUUUCGGAGCGCAGCACAUUUUUUGCGCUUUGUAUCAGGAGAAAAGGACGGUACUCCAUCAAGACUCUACAUUUUUCACUUUUGACCUCGGAUCAGGUAGGGAUACCCGCUGAACUUAAGCAUAUCAAUAAGCGGAGGAA